ACAGAGCGAAGCCAGGGAUCGAACCCAGGUGCUCUUGGACUCUAGUCGGGUUCAUUACUGCUGAGCCACAACAGGAACUCCCAUGGCUGGUAUAUUCUGAAGGACAUCACAUGUAACACGUUCUCAUCACAGAGUAAAGUCACUUCCCACACUGCCCUGUAGAGCGUUCCUUGUUAAUGAGAUUAAAUUAAGCCUUUCUGGACAGGAACACAGAGGUGAUGUCCUGGACCAGGUGUGUGCACUCCUUAGAAAAGCACCAAGAGCCUCCCCUUCUUCUUAUACAAGUAAAUAGGACCACAUGGACUUAUAAAUCAGGAUCUCCUUACCCACAUCCUGACUGAUUUGCACCUCUCUUCCUCUGAAACCACACAACUCUCAGGGUUUGUUUUUAAGGAGUGCUUUAUAAGAAGCAGUGUGUUUAGCCUGUGACAGCCUCAGCCAACGUCAUGGAUUUUCAGGCUCAAAUUCUCAGCAUCCUGCUGCUCAGUGUCACAGUGAUGAUAGUAUCCAGUGGAGAAAUUGUGCUGACCCAGUCUGCAGCCUCCAAGGCUGUUUCCCAAGGGGAGAAUGUCAUCAUCACCUGCAAUGGCAGCCCAGGUGUAAGCACCAACAAAUUACACUGGUACCAACUGAAGACCGGAGCCCCUCCCAGGCUCCUUAUUUAUAGCAAUCAAGCUUGGCCUUCUGGGUCCCAACCCGCUUCAGUGGCAGUGGAUCUGGGACCUCUUACUCUCGCACCAUCAGCAGCGUGGCAGCUCAAGAUGCUGCAGACUAUUACUGCCAGCAGUCUAGCAGCUUCCCACCCACAGUGGUACCGACAAGAACAAAAACCUCUUGUAGCAGUUUUUGCAGGGCCCAGCUACUUCAUCCUCAGAGGCUGAGAGGUCUCUGCUUCCUAUGUCUGGGAGGCUUCUGAGAGACCCUCUAGUGGCUCCUGUUGACUCUAGAACAUGCUUGGCUAUCAGAAGCAAGGACGAAAGAAAGUUUAGGGGACGGAUAAAUUCUCAGUGGGCUCCAGGUGGUGGCAGCCUGUGUAAUAAUAGAAAGGAUGCAAAAUAAAAUCAGUCAUCUAAAUUACUACCUUAAUGAUGCAAUUCCUCUAAAUAGAGUGUUAAAUCCUUAGGUAGAUUAUUUCUUUCUUUCUCUUCUUUUUUUUUUUUUUUUUUGCCUU